UGCUACCCAUGGGAGGUCUUUGAGCAAUUCACCACCCAGGAACCCAAAACGAACUAGAUGAACUCUGCUUAAAACAAUAAGCCGAAGGUUUCUGUAUUGUAUUACCUCACCAGGCAAAAGUGACGAGAAGAAAUGGGAAUAUAAGAAGGAAAUAGGUCUAAUUAGCCAGGAAAAUGGGCUGGAUUCCUUCUCAAGGUCACUCUAACCUCUAAGGAAUCUAUGUCUAAGAACAGAGCCUCCUUCUCUCUUACCUCCAUCCUGAUCAGGCAAGAUGAGAAGGUUGAGAUCCAAAAAGAUCAAUCAAUUUGCCCAAAAUUUUGACAGGUGUUUUUCAGUGAGCACCACCAUGAACUAAACCCUGGGAAUAGAAAGAAAUUUAACACUUUGGAGGUGGAAAUCAAUCUGUAAAGUUGUCCAUCCAUUGGGGAAAAUAUGUGACAAAUAUGAUUAAUGACAAAAGUAUGAAAUCCAUAUAGCAAGGCAAGUUGAGAAAUAGCUGAUGUAAAGUUUUAGGAGAAGGAAAUGCUCACAUGUAGUUUUAAGUUAAAAAAAAUGAAAGAGGAAAUACUAAAUUAAGGUUAUUUUGUUCUUCUCUUUUUAACAGAAGGUUGAAACUAUUUGUGGAUUGUUACAGAAGCUUGAUUUGUUCUCAAAAAUGUAUGAUAUAUAAAAUCAACUCAUUUUGCUUUAAGAUGUCUCCCAUCAAUACCAACUUUCGGAUCAAGAACUAAAAGAAAUAUAUCCAUAUUAUAUGUAAUCUUUAGCUUUAUGGCAAUUAGGAUGAAACAGAGUCAACUCAAUGAAAAUGAGUUUUUUAAUUGUU